UAAUUCCCAACAAGAGGCUCUCCUUUCAGUGCCUGCCAUUAUUCUAAUGACCCUCUUUUGAAUGUAAAAUAUUUUUUUGCUCUGUUGAAUUUCCCCAGAAAAUGAUAGAAGUUAACCAACGUUUCGGUGGUCCUUGCUGCCUCUAUCCUUAGGGCAAUGACUGAGGACUGUAAUUAACGUUAUUACCGACUGAGCAUAUGGAAGUGUUUCAAACCGUGAUUUAAUACCAAUUGUUCUUACCAAUGGAUAGAUGGCAGAACAAUAUACGUGACUUCGCUCUUUGAUUGGUUGGGAAAAUGAAACGGCGUCCACUCACAAAGGUCUAUUGGUAUAAUCGAAACAUUCUAGAAAUAGCCGUACGGUGAAGUGCAUUUGGUAGCACUGCGCAAACGUUCAGUAUUUAACGCUGCAGUUCGUCCAAGUUUUUUUGGUAAUCGCUUUCAAAAUGGCAGGUACUUGGUAUGUGAAGAGUUGUACGUUAUUAAUGUCGUUACUUGGUGUCUUUCCUAGAGGAAAUGUCCAGUUUGUACGUAUAAACUCGGAAUGACCAGCUCUUCAUUAACAUAUGUUUUAGGGCAGUCAAAAAGUUCCCGGAAUUCCCCUGUUUGAGAAAAGUAUGCAAGACCCGAUUUUUCUCACAAAGAGUGUCACUG